AGAGUUUGAUCAUGGCUCAGAGCGAACGCUGGCGGCAGUAACACAUGCAAGUCGAGCGGGCGUAGCAAUACGUCAGCGGCAGACGGGUGAGUAACGCGUGGGAACAUACCUUUUGGUUCGGAACAACCCAGGGAAACUUGGGCUAAUACCGGAUAAGCCCUUACGGGGAAAGAUUUAUCGCCGAAAGAUUGGCCCGCGUCUGAUUAGCUAGUUGGUGAGGUAACGGCUCACCAAGGCGACGAUCAGUAGCUGGUCUGAGAGGAUGAUCAGCCACAUUGGGACUGAGACACGGCCCAAACUCCUACGGGAGGCAGCAGUGGGGAAUAUUGGACAAUGGGGGCAACCCUGAUCCAGCCAUGCCGCGUGAGUGAUGAAGGCCCUAGGGUUGUAAAGCUCUUUUGUGCGGGAAGAUAAUGACGGUACCGCAAGAAUAAGCCCCGGCUAACUUCGUGCCAGCAGCCGCGGUAAUACGAAGGGGGCUAGCGUUGCUCGGAAUCACUGGGCGUAAAGGGUGCGUAGGCGGGUCUUUAAGUCAGGGGUGAAAUCCUGGAGCUCAACUCCAGAACUGCCUUUGAUACUGAAGAUCUUGAGUUCGGGAGAGGUGAGUGGAACUGCGAGUGUAGAGGUGAAAUUCGUAGAUAUUCGCAAGAACACCAGUGGCGAAGGCGGCUCACUGGCCCGAUACUGACGCUGAGGCACGAAAGCGUGGGGAGCAAACAGGAUUAGAUACCCUAGUAGUCC
rnacentral:rRNA from 1 species